UGUUUGGCUUUAUCGAAGACCGAUUUAUGUCGUUUGCCAUACGUUUAUUGGUUCAAAAUGAAGCCCAAAGCAAUUUUUGUUACGACGGUCACUGACCUGUGCAUCCCACAGCCAUUUCAGUAACUUUUACGUGCAAUUACAUUC